AGCUCCUCAAGCGGUCUGCAACGGGCUGGAGGGAUCCCGGUGCUGCUGCGACGGCAGCCGGCGCCCUUCAAAGGGUCGGCGUUGCGAUCUGCUCAGGAUUGGUGGGUCCACUUGGUAUAUGCUGUGCAGGAGAGCGAGGAAAGAGCCGCUCGGGAAUAUUGUGUGCUUUCCCUUCCGGAUGCUUUGACGGGACCUUUCUUUACUCUUUGGUCCAGAGAGGGAGAGAGAUCGUGGGAGACAGAAACUGGGAGGUGCUGUGCCUGUAUAUCGGCAGGAUCCCGAGUGUUUAAGUGGCGGCGGUGGAGAGCGAUGGCUGGAUCUUGCCCAUCGCCGCCGCCGCCUCCUCCUCUCCGCGAAGUAUAUACCGUCGGCUAUCUAGAAACAUUUUCUCCUUGGAAAUAAACCUGCGUUGGAUUUAUGCCCCUUGGAUGUUUCAGCAGCGCCCCAUUGGGAAGAGGCGUCUAUUUUUUAAGGGAAAAGAGGAAGAUGUUGGGAGGCGCACGAGACACGUGCGCUCGGGCUUCCUCGGCUCUGAAUUAUUUUAUCGCUGUCACGAAAUGAAGCUCCCCCCAUGUUGGGCACCGAAGGUAUUUGGCGGGGGGCGGCGGUGACCUGUUUUGUGCCCUUCCCGCCUUCCUAUGUAUGGAAUACAGUCAUUGCGGCUUCUUUGCCCGCCGCUCGUCGUAGGUGAUGCGCUGGAGGGUCACCUGGCCAGAGAAGAGGAUGAUUGAUGCACAGAGGAUGCUGACCGAAAGGCCCAGGUGCAGAAGACCCAACUGUUUGUGGAAGCAGGAUCUCACCUGAUGGGAAAUUCUGUUUGGAUAUGUCAGGAAAUUGUUGACGAUGACUUGCAGAAUUCUGUCCAUAACAGCUAAAACAGAUGAUAUGUAUGGGAAGAAUCUUCCAUCUUACAAUCAACAGAAAUGGACCGUGGGCUCUUCAGCUGGCAUGAAGAUAACCAAGGCUACCUCACCAGUAAUUCUAUGUAUGAUGACGCAGUUAACUUUGGCUUGUUCCUCUGGUUUUACAGCAUUCAAAUUUUGCCUCCUUGAACAAUAUGGCUGGAGAUUCACCUUUAGGAUAGCUCCAAAAGUCAUCUGGGGCAGUGAACGACCGUUCGGCCUGAAAGGGAAAGGAUUUUUUUCUCCUCCUCUAUUUUUUUAAAGAUUCAAAGCCUGUCUAGAUACAGUGGAAGCUGUUGUGAAUUUUCUAAAAAUGAAUGCCCACACUCACUUUUACUUUUCUGAUUUCUCAUUUGUCUUAUGUGCUUUAUUCCAUUGCUGGUGUAGUGUUUCAGUGCAAGUUCAUGAUGUCUUUGGGACUGACAGAAAGAUCAGACAAGAAAUACCCACUGCUAGGAAAAAAACUCCAAACUGUGUUUGGAGGAAUAAUGCUUGAUCCCUCCAAACUAGGCAACCCCAGGCAGUACCUAAUUGUAAGUCUUCCAUCAAAACAAAAUCAUUAUGUAAUCAGGAAGGUUGCUGACCAGUAAGAGUGAUGGACAGAGGGUAGCUGAAUGGAAAGCAAUGCUAAGGGGUCAGCAGGGGAGGAACAGUCCUGGAAUAUCUAAGAGUCAGCAGCCCAUGCCACAGAAAAAGAAAACUGCUGCAAAAUAGGCAUAGUGGUGGUGACGGGGAAUCACACAGCCACACACAAGUAUUCCCAUGGAUCAACAUUCUUGGGUUCCAGCAAAAGCUCCCAUUUCACAGAGAGGCAGGUUAUUUUAAGAUAAGUGGGAAGAGAGAAUUCACUCAGCCACAAUAACAGUGAUGAUAGUUUUUGAAAAGAUGUGAUAUUUUCAGGGCCACACAGAAAAGCAGGUUUUGGAAGACAGGAACAAGUUCUGAAGUCAUCCAAAAUCCAUGCCUUUGUAUAUCCGUCAUAAAGAAUCCACCAGUGUAGGCCUGUUUAGAAGGCAUGUAGUACAGAAUUCCAGAUCAUGUGUAUCUCAUUAGAAGUAAAGAGCACUGGACUGCUCAAGGGGAAGGACGAACGUCCCUCCAAAUGCAAUAAUAGAUGAGUGUAUCCCUUUGGAAUCCAGCAGGAACUCUGUGCAAAAGUGCCAAGUCACCUCACCAUUCACACACAGGCACUCCCUUCUUUCACCCUACCCCCACAUACCAUACCAUACCAUACCAUACCAUACCAUACCAUACCAUACCAUACCCACAGACAUAAACUACAGACCAUACUAACCAAGAUAAUGAUAAUUAAAAACUAAGGUGAUAUUCUGAGAGGUACACAGAAGAACAACUUUUGGAAUACACACGUAUUAUUUAUUUAAAACAUUUUUAUACAUACACUCACAUUCAGCCCCUGUAUGCCCCCUCCCGCUACACACAUACCAGAUAUGAUACUCACAUAUCCUGAACUAGACUGGGCAUAUAUGCCACAGAAAGUAUUCACAAACUCUGGACUAGCUCAUAUAACCACCCCCUGACCAGACCACACACAUGCUUACGCACACACACACAACCCAGACCAUACCUACAAACCCUAGACCACAUCAUUCAGACACACAAGCAUGCACCCUGGGAUAGAAACAUACAUGCAGACUCUUUCACACACACCUCUUCAAAUAUUACGCAAUGCCAUGCUGUGAUGGAGCUGAAACUGCCGCUGCAGCCGCUCUGACCAGCUCAUUCAGGACACUGGCUCCUGGCACCCCAACCAUGCCUAGAAGAGGGAGGGCAGGGAUGGUCCCUACCUGGCCAGCUCAAGCUCUCAGCCAGCUUUGUGAGCGGCCUCCCCCCUGGUGAGGGGUGCCUUCACGGCUUGCCACUGGCCACCAGGGAGUCCUCACUCCAGGGGAAGGCCCUGGAGCAGCAGGAAUGCUCCACGCAUGGGUGUGAGUUUGCGCUUGCACUGGAGUGUAACUACAGAUUGCCCUUCCAGGAGCUCCUGCAGCUGUGUGGUGGCACUGCAGGGAAGUCACUUUUCUCAGGCUGGUGCCUUUUUUUUUUCUUUUCAAACGGUAAGAGAGGGAGGAAUGCACAGUGGGAAGCUGAAGCUCAAAGUGCCCUCAAAUUGGAGCAGCACCUAGAUGAAUGUCAUAGAAGAUGAUAUAUGCUUGUGCAUCUAACACACAGGAGAUAAAACUGUGUGAGCAUCAGAUCAAAUAAGUUUAGGGACACAUUCAAAUAAGUUGAGGAAACUGACUGUAUUAACACUUUACUACCACUGUCGGAGCAGGUGGACAGAAAAGGAAAGGGAAUCCCAAUGGUUUAUAAAGUAAUUAAAAGAAUAAUGGUUUUCUUCGUGCAUGCACAACUCUGGGACCUACCCAGUAGUUGGAUCUAGAGCAGAAAAUUCCCAUUGUCAUCGCAUCAUCUUUCUUUUCUAGCUAUGCAAGACCAAUUAGCGUAAUGAUGUAAGAAUAAAAGAACUGUCAUACCCAGUCCAUCUCUCCAAGCAUCAUGUCUAACAUAAGUUGCAUUCAUUUUAAUGAGUUUACUCCACAGCGGAGUGGUGUUGGAUUUUACCCAGAGAGUAAUGCAGGGAAUAAAUUACAGAUGCAUGGCCAUCUGCCUUAUGGUGGUAUCCAGCCAUGAAGCACUGAAAAUUGGAAGGAAUGGGCAGUUGGUGGAUCUAUGGGUAUCAAAGGGCUAUUUGUCCCCACGGGAAUCCACUGUGGAGAGGCAAAACCCAUGGCAUUGUCAACAACACUUUUUGGCCUUCAUGAACUUUCAUUGCCCACCAUUGCUAAACUUGCUAAGCAGUGAUGCAUCUAUUAGUUCAGUGGAAGCUGAUCUGCAUUUUCCCUUAUUAAGCUUACUAAUGACAUCAUACACUUCUAGUAGGACUCCAGCUGAUUUGGAGCUAAAACCAGUAGUUCUCAAGUGGUAUGUUAACAUCUGAUAGUAGGAGGCAUUUAAUUUUAUUUACACAUUACAUUUUAUAUGGCCACCCAUCAAUAGAUUUUCUUUGGCCAGCUUAUAAAAUAAAAAGCAAAACUAAGUAUACUAUGCAAUAAAUUAAAAACAGAAAAUAAAAAUAAAGUGCAAAACAACAAACAACUCAGAUUUAAAACAACUGCAAGGGACUAAAACAGUUGAUGCGUUGCAAGAGCGUUUAAAAGGUGCAGCCUUAUGGAUCCUAGAUGCUGUGGAGCUGGCCAUAGGAGUUUUCCCAAGCUCCAGCCUUGGGACUUCAAAUUCAGAGAGCUUUCCCUCUGCCCUGGGAGCAUGGUUCUUUCUUCACUGGCUGUAGCUCAAGUUGCAAACGAAACUUCAGAGCUGCUGUUCGCUCUACCAGGAUGUGAGGAAUCACUGUGGUACCUCAGCCCUGCCUCCUCACUAGCAGAUGCGUGCAACCAAGUACUUGGGAGGGCAAGAGAAGCAUAGGGGCAAUCCUCAUUGGAGCUCUCCUACCUUCCAUGGAUACCCAUAAUCCCCCCAGUUCAGGGGGUUAUGGGCAUCCACCCUGGAUGUCACCCUAACUGGUGGAAGCAGUACAGCUAAAGAGGAUAAAAAUAAUACAGGCUUCCUUCCUAUACAGGACCUGGAUGUCACAGCUGCAGUCUACACAAAAGCACAUUCAUUGAGAAUCCCCUUAGAAAAACUAUUUGACAGCUACUAUUUUGCAAAGUACACAUUGCACCUGUAAAUAUGUAAUAAAGUGAUCUUAAAUGAGUCGCUUGCAUUUAUGAGGGUUUGUUGUUUCUUCAUAUGCUUUUUAUGAGCAGACCAUUCAGACUAGAUGGCCCGGGAGGCCCCUUCUGACUCGCUCUGUUUCUAUGCUUUGGAAGGCUCUUUGGAAUCAAAGCAGUAUAUUAGAUAGCACAGCAUUUGAAGUGUGACUACCACAAUUCUGUUAUCAGUGCCAUAACUCAAAAUGGUGACAUAAUGAAUGGCAUGAAUUCAUAGUGUUUCCUGCAUACUUCCUGCAUUUUUUCCUUUUAAUCUUUAACGUAAAGAACUCUUUAAUACCCAAUCAAAUGAAAAGAGGCUUUUUCCCAUGUCAAACUACAGAUGAUGUUGCUGGUGGAUUUUUUUUUUUUUUAAUUUCCUUGGUUUAAUGAUUGGUUGAGACAAGAUGUUAAAAACUUGUAUCUAGCAUAUCUGUUGUUUAGAAUGUUUUUACAUUUUUUUCUGUAGAAGGCUGCUAACUGACCAGUUUAAAAAAGAAGUAUUAGUGCACUUUCUGAUAUUUUAGCCUCCUGCUUAGCUGCUUAUCCAUUGUCACCAACCUGAAGGUCAAUUUCACAGCAGGUACAAGUUUUGAGGUGUGCUAUUUUACCUUUUUUACUUGUUGGAAGUGACUUUCAGCACAAACCCAUUUGAAAAAGAAAGACAUGUGUGUUUUACAUGCCCCAUUUUGUUUCGAGUGACAAUAAUAACUUUGCUCACUGAGUUUCCACCAUAUCAUGGGAACAUUAUGAGAAGAGUCGGGACUUUACUUAUUUGUUUGCUUUGAGCAUUUAUACCUUUCAAUUUAGAGCAUCGAGAAUAUUGUGCCAUUCACUCGUGGAACAACCACUCGCACAAUACGGUUUUCAUGCUCUGCUGACCUAUCCCAGUCUGGAAAGGAGCAUCUCCACUAAUUUCUGGGGUUGUUUUUAGUGUGUGUCCCAUUGCACAAGCAAUCACUCCUGCAAGCACAACAGAACCAGCUGGGAAACUGCACUGUAUACUGCCUAAAGAAUUUAAAUCAGCCAAUGAAGCCCAUUCAGCAAUUUAAGCAAUUAAUAGAGACAAGGACAGCCAUUCCAAUUUGGAAUCCAACAGAGUUCAAGUGUAACCUUAGAUGACAAGGGAUGCAAACAUGAGAGGCAUCAAGCAGGUUGGGCUCAAUUGUUCCAUGAUAUUUUCCUAGAUCGCAUUCCAUACGGUAUGUUCUUCUUUAGCAACAAGGUAUUGAGUAUCACUAUGAAUUGUAAUUUAUGAAGAAGUCCAUCAGAGCAGCAGCAGUGCAGAGGUGUGACGAUGUGUCGGAACUUACAAAUCUGGAGCUUCCUCAGACAAAUAUCGCAGUGCAACAAGCUGGCAGCAAACAACUGUUUUGUUCCGAGGCUAAAACUUUUGUCAAAGAUCCCAAGAUGUUCACACCUUUUCUGACAGAUGACUUACAUGUUUAGGUGUUGGUUCCAAAAGACAUGUAUUCAAUAAAUCCUUUGCAAUAUUUUGGA